UGUAAAAUAAGCUAAAGUAAGCUAUUGGGUUCAUACCCCAAAAAUGAAUAUUAGAAUUCUUUUACAA
rnacentral:tRNA from 1 species